rnacentral:rRNA from 1 species
AUUGAACGCUGGCUGCAGGCCUAACACAUGCAAGUCGAACGAGUGGCGGACGGGUGAGUACUGUCUGGGAAACUGCCUGAUGGUGGGUGAUCACUACUGGAAACGGUACCUAAUCCCUCAUAUCAUCAGAUGUGCCCAGAUGGGAUGAGCUUGUUGUUGGGGUAACGGCUCACCAAGGCGACGGUCCCUAGCUGGUCUGAGCGGAUGACCAGCCAAACUGGAACUGAGCCACGUUCCAGAAUCCUACGGGAGGAAGCAGUGGGGAGUAGUGCACAAUGGGCGCAAGACUGAUGCAGACAUGCCGCGUGUAUGAGGAAGGCCUUCGGGUUGUAAAGUACUUUCAGCGAGGGGGCGUUACCCGCAGGAGGAGCACCGGCUAACUCCGUGCCAGCAGCCGCGGUAAUAC